GCCCUGUGGGGAGCAUCUGGUAUUACAGGGUGGGAGUCCGCCCCCGCCGUGUCCGCGCCCAGCCCUGAGGGGCUSCGCUGCCCGGAGCUCGGGGCUGCGGCGCCGCUGGGGCCGUGCCCGGGUGCAGCGUGGGAGCACGAGACGCGGGUCCCGCCGGCGGCAGCGGCGGUUCAGGGGCUUGGCGAGACAAUCGAGAAGCCGGGCGGUUGCUGUGGCUGCAGGCGGGUUGAACGUCACUGGGAAGAGUGAGACAAGACCGGACUGAUAACUUCUUGCAGGCCAUAGCGGGGAGAGGAGCAGCACAAUCUGGAAGAAUAUCCAUGAGUACCCGUGAGAUUUUGAUUUAAAGUUUUAAAAUUAAUCUAAAAAGAAAAAAAAAAACCCAUUAUUUGAAAGAAAACCUCAGGUGGAACAUGAGAGAGUAUCUGAUGAUUGAUUUCCUGGAUGGUAGAAAUAUGUUYCUGUUAGGUUUUUAUCUAAGGAAAGCAUCUGCAGACACUGCACAGAAGGCUGCGAGAGUUCCUGAGGAGCUGACAACGCCCCUGGGAUCGCUGCUGCCUCAUCUGCCACUCUCACACUUUGCAGGCUGUUGUCUCAGGAUGGUUUGGCUGAAGUUAAAAUUGCCCCUUUGCACAGAGCUGGAUCAAUAUUGUUCAGUUCAAAAGGAGGCAUGUCAUGUGUACUUGGCUUCCUAACAGCUUUAGUUGUGCCCAGGAAAAAGCGUCGUGUUCUUGCUGUUGUGUUUACCUGCAAUAGUGCUUUUGGUGCCUUUUUCAAGGAGCAGCUGGAAUCUGGAUUUCUCUCUCUCUCUCUCUCUCUCUCUCGUGGCCCUUGGGCAAAAUGAGAAUAGUGAAGGUGCCUGCAAAGGCCCAUCUGGGUGCUUUGGAGGUCAAGAGUGGUUGUGCCUUUAUACCCGGGUUUUGGUUGGGACAUUGAGCACAUGUACCCUGCUGUUUUUUUUAAUUUCCUUUGGCUCUUGUGCUUCAAACAGAAGUGUCAUUCCCUUCUGUCCCUUCCAUACUUUGAGGGUCAGCAUUUAUUCUGUUGUGGCUGGCUAAUGAGCAGAGGAAAUGCUGCCUGAAGAGUGGUUCCACAGCAUACAUGAGCAAGCUUUCUCAUGCGCUUCAAACAGCUCCUGCUAUUGGAGGCAAACAGAGGCUUAUUUCAAAAGCUCUUCAAAGGAAAAUGUUAAGUGCUUCUGUGUCUUCCACCUAUUUCAGUUAAACCUUUUCCUGUAACUAAGGCCAGACAUAAUGGCACUGGGUCCCGUCACAUACCAACCCCUCAACCUCAUACUGAGGCUUCGUCCUUGCACUGGCAGAGCCGAUUAGGUCCCCCCAGAAGUCUCUGGCAAAGCCAAUUCAAGCAGUGGUUUUGCAGUUUUUAGCUUUAGGCUUCUUUUGGGAGCUCUGCGUGUUCUCACGCUUGUUCCCGUGUGUGCUUUUCAUAAGCAGUGACUUAACUUUGGGGAUGUGUUGCUUUGCAGUCACACUUUAUUGUAUCUCAUUUCUGUUUCCCUGCAUGUUUUAUUCUUGCCCUUUCCCCAUUGCGUUUCACUGCUGUGUACAUCUUGAAACACGUUGCUGUGUGCUUUUCUGUCCUCUUGAUGAAAAUAAAUUAAUAAAUAUGAAAACUAGA